UAACGAGGGGGGGGGGGCCGGGUUUAACAGUGCCAUAAGAACCCCCCCCCCCCCCAUACCCCCAUUACCGGUAGCACACCAGGAACUGCGCGUACGCCACCGCGAUCCAGUUGUGGUGCCCGCACACGAGCCGCACGGCGCCUGCAUCGCUCCCUAUGGAUAUAGGGGAAGGGAAGGAAAACCCACCUGGUGGGGGGGGGCUCAACCGGAGGGGACCGUAUCCCCGGUGUUGGGGUCUUACCGGUGCCGGGGGGGGGCCGCUCGUCCGGCGGGUGCCCCAGCACGCCGGCGCUGCCCAGCCCGGGGGGCAUGGUGUUGCUGCGGCGCACCGGCGCGGCCGGUAACCGCAGGGCGAGCUGUGGCCCCGCCACGCUGUGCCGGCUCCGGCGCUUGGCUGGUAGCGCUGGGGGGGGCAGGUACCCGGUGAACAAGACACAACCACACGACGACCGCUCCAGCUCCUCCCGCAGCUGCAAGCGGCGAACUGGGGGGGGGGGGGACGGGACACAAAGAGUUAAACCCCCCCCUACACAUGGACCAUUCCACCCCGUCCCCAUUGCCAGGGCCGGGAAGGACCCCACCAAGUGGCACCUAAAGGGGUGAUGCCGUAGAACUGCGCCUCAUGCAGGAGCAGGGGGGCGCUGACACCGCGCGGGUCCAGCUCUUUGGUGCGCAGGAAGUUGAGGAUGGGGGCGAAGACCGUGGGGUCCCGAUCGAUGAAGAUCUAUAUUGGGGGGGGGGGGGGAAGAUGUUGGGGACCCCCCCUUUGGUGCUCAUAAACAGGGGGAGGUCGGGGUGGGGGGGGUGUGUGUCUCACCGCUCCUGUUUCAUCCUUUAAAGUGGAGAUGCGGCCGCUCAGGAGGCUGUUGGGGGGUAAAAUAGGGGGGUUAAUGGGGGGGACACACCAUGUGGACCCCCCCCCAAAACACUGCGACUCCCCCCGUUGUGUGUGUGUCCCCCCCGCUUCCAUCACCUGGAGAAGAAGGAAUCUGGGAUCCAGGUCAGGGUCUGGCGGGAGGUGCUGAAUCUGUGGGGGGGGGUUAGCGAUGGGGGGGGCUAAAAGGUUUGGGG
rnacentral:lncRNA from 1 species